rnacentral:rRNA from 1 species
UCUACUCGAAUCUGCGAACGGCUCCGCACACCAGUUAUAACCAUCGGCCGCGUCUCUCGUGUUGUUGCAGCUAAUGCCCAGUGAAAACCAAGCACAAUGUUCGGAUGAUGACAGGAGAUACAUGGAUAUCCAUGGCAAUUCUGUGGCUAAUACAUGAUAGUUACCACCGGAUUGCUCGUGGUAGGGGGGGGCUUUUUUCCCAACUGGGCCUUCGGGCUUGCGCGGGGGGGGGCUCAUAAAACGAACCUACUGUGGGUGGUCUGGGGGAGUGUGAGGUUUAAUUGGCUUGGCUUCUUCGGGACAGAGCGCACUUCCUUUACCCUGCUCCGGGCUCCCUUUCGGGGGGGUCCGGGCGCACUGGGGGGCACAAACCUGGUUGGCGUCCUUUCCUCGGCCCUCACGGGCUAGGGAUUGGGGGUUGGCUGGGGGCGUCCCUCUGGUGGGUCAUUGCCUGGGUAUCUGACCUAUCAACUAGAAUGUGACGUAAAGGAUUGCUGUGGUUGCGACGGGUACAGAGGAUUAGGGUUCGAUCCUGGAGAGUGGGCCUGAGAGAUU